rnacentral:misc_RNA from 1 species
AAGGAGUCUAACAUAUAUGCGAGUAUUUGGGUGGCAAACUCGUGUGCGCAAUGAAAGUGAACGUAGGUGCCACGCGCAAGAUGCACCAUCGACCGAUCUGGAACUUUAGUGAUGGAUUUGAGUAAGAGCAUAUAUGCUGGGACCCGAAAGAUGGUGAACUAUGCCUGAAUAGGGCGAAGCCAGAGGAAACUCUGGUGGAGGCUCGUAGCGAUUCUGACGUGCAAAUCGAUCGUCAAAUUUGGGUAUAGGGGCGAAAGACUAAUCGAACCAUCUAGUAGCUGGUUCCUGC